CCUACGGGAGGCAGCAGUGAGGAAUAUUGGUCAAUGGGCUUACGCCUGAACCAGCCAAGUCGCGUGAGGGAAGACUGCCCUAUGGGUUGUAAACCUCUUUUGUCAGGUAGCAAUUGGCGCUACGUGUAGCCGGACUGAGAGUACCUGAAGAAAAAGCAUCGGCUAACUCCGUGCCAGCAGCCGCGGUAAUACGGAGGAUGCGAGCGUUAUCCGGAUUUAUUGGGUUUAAAGGGUGCGUAGGCGGAAUGCCAAGUCAGCGGUAAAAUCCCCGCGCUCAACGUGGGAACUGCCUUUGAAACUGGCAAACUGGAGUGUGUGAGAGGAUAGUGGAAGUCCAGGUGUAGGAGUGAAAUCCGUAGAUAUCUGGAGGAACAUCAGUGGCGAAGGCGACUAUCUGGCACAUAACUGACGCUGAGGAGCGAAAGCGUGGGUAGCAAACAGGAUUAGAUACCCUUGUAGUC
rnacentral:rRNA from 1 species